CCUCCUCCUCCUGGUCCUUCUCCCCCUCCUCCUCCUCCCCUUUCUCCUGGUCCUUCUCCUCCAUCCCAGCUGAUCGCUCCCGGUUGCUCCUGGCGAGAAUAGCCUCUUCCCGCUCCAGAUGUGACGCCGGUCUUGGAUGGAAAGCGCAUCUGGAGGACCCUCUUUGGCCUCCUCCGUCGCGGAGAAGCUGCAGGCGCCGAGAGCGCAGCGUGAAGGCGGAACCCAGGCAGCAUCUUAGCUACCAUCCAGGUGAUGGAUGAAUUCAGGUAGACGGGUGACCUUUUCAAGCCAAUGCCGCCUUCCUCCAGAAAGGUGGGCCUGCUCUGGCCCAAAGCCUGCUUCAUCUUCCUCCCCAAGGCAAGUCCUUUGGAAGAUCUGACUCAACAGAGCACAGGAAUCUCUCCAGAUCGGCAGCUUUCGCCCGGGAAAGACCAGACAAGGCUUUAAGGAAUUCAGGGGUGGGGUCAGAUCUAGCCCUCUUGUUUUUAUGUAGAGAGUCUAGGCUGAUUCCUCCUUUGAGUCUUCCUCCUAUCUGAGAUGGCUGCUCUCCAACGGAUAGCAACGCUGGGAGACCAGUUCUGAGGAACACGAACGUCCAACUCUUUCUGCUUCUUUGGAGACACCAGGAGAACUGCUGGUCAGUCUUUGGAUGGGCCUGGUCUUUGGUCCUUAGCUCACCUGAACAGGUUCGCGUUCCAAAUUGGGUCUCCCUCUGGGCCACAA